CGCUGGCGGCGUGCCUAACACAUGCAAGUCGAACGAAGCAUUUGGAGCUGAUCCCUUCGGGGUGACGCACCUUAUGACUUAGUGGCGGACGGGUGAGUAACACGUGAGCAACCUGCCUCUCAGAGUGGAAUAACAGUUGGAAACGGCUGCUAAUACCACAUAACGUUUUUGUGCCGCAUGACACUUCAACCAAAGAUUUAUCGCUGAGAGAUGGGCUCGCGUCCGAUUAGGUAGAUGGUGGGGUAACGGCCUACCAUGCCGACGAUCGGUAGCCGGACUGAGAGGUUGAUCGGCCACAUUGGGACUGAGACACGGCCCAGACUCCUACGGGAGGCAGCAGUGGGGGAUAUUGCACAAUGGGCGCCAAGCCUGAUGCAGCAACGCCGCGUGCGGGAAGACGGCCUUCGGGUUGUAAACCGCUGUCCUUGGGGAAGAAACAAAUGACGGUAACCCAAGAAGGAAGCCACGGCUAACUACGUGCCAGCCGCCGC
rnacentral:rRNA from 1 species